AUGGAGAAACAGAUACUGAAUUUAUUUAAACUCACAGGGGAGAACUUGGAAAAUGAACCACGCAUUAUGGAGCUCAGAAAUCAGUACAGAAUUAUUAGAACAACAGAGUUGGCUGCUACGUAGGAAAAGCUACAUGAGCUUGAGAGACAAAAGGAAGAAAUGUUGAGGUUUGGUUCCCCUGCUUCCCUUCUCCAAAGGCUUCAAGAUGCAAUGAACAAGACCGAUGAGGAAUCUGAAAAUCUGCACAAGCAGCUUCUUGAUAGGGAGAUCGAGCUCGAUCCUUUUGUGCAGAUAUACAAGAAGCUUCGCACCACUUAAGCGAGCACUCAUUCAUCUUGCAGCUAAAACAAAUUCACUUAGUUGAAUUGAUAUUAUAGAAAGAUAUAUACUUGGAACACACUGAAAUCUUACUUGCAGUUUCAAUGCAUUGGCUAGAUAAACAUGAUUGUCUGUGUAUUA